rnacentral:rRNA from 1 species
AGCCUACUCUAGCCCAACCACAUUAACAGCUGAAGCCUCAAAAAUCAACUCCACCACUAAACUAAAGCAUUUUACAAACUUAGUAUAGGCGAUAGAAAAGAUUAUCCGGCGCGAUAGAGAUUCUGUACCGUAAGGAAAGAUGAAAUAACAAUGAAAAAUCAAGCAAUAAACAGCAAAGAUAAGCCCUUGUACCUCUUGCAUCAUGGUUUAGCAAGAAUAACCAAGCAAAGUGAACUUAAGCUUGCCCCCCCGAAACCUGAGCGAGCUACUUACAAGCAGCUACCUAUUGGGCGAACCCGUCUCUGUGGCAAAAGAGUGGGAUGACUUGUCAGUAGAGGUGAAAAGCCAACCGAGCCAGGUGAUAGCUGGUUGCCUGUGAAACGAAUCUCAGUUCCCCCCCGAUCUCCCUCUAAGGACUACACCACCAACCCCCAUGUAGUAGAUCAAGGGUAAUUUAAAGGAGGUACAGCUCCUUUAAAAGAGAACACAAUCUCACCUAGAGGAUAACUACCAAACCUACCUAAUCAACUGUAGGCCUUCAAGCAGCCACCAAUAAAGAAUGCGUCAAAGCUCCCCAUUAAUAAAAAUUCAAGAAUAACAUGACUCCCUUCUCACUAACAGGCUAACCUAUUACAAUAGAAGAAUAAAUGCUAAAAUGAGUAACUAGGGGCUCUCCCCCUCUAAGGGGUAAGCUUACAUCUCCACAUUAUUAACAGAUUACAGCGGAUAUCAAAACUCCAACAAGACCGGCAUAUCUGCACCACCCUGUUACCCCCACUCAGGAACGAAUAUCAGAAAGAUUUAAAUCUGUAGAAGGAACUAGGCAAACCCAGGGCCCGACUGUUUACCAAAAACAUAGCCUUCAGCUAAUCAAGUAUUGAAGGUGAUGCCUGCCCAGUGACAUAAUGUUUAACGGCCGCGGUAUCCUAACCGUGCGAAGGUAGCGCAAUCAAUUGUCCCAUAAAUUGGGACUUGUAUGAAUGGCUAAACGAGGUCUUAACUGUCUCCUGCAGAUAAUCAGUGAAAUUGAUCUCCCUGUGCAAAAGCAGGAAUAAUACCAUAAGACGAGAAGACCCUGUGGAACUUAAAAAUCAGCGACCACUGCACACACACUCAACCCCAUGAGGCUUACUAACACGCCAUGCUGGCCCGCAUUUUUCGGUUGGGGCGACCUUGGAGAAAAACAAACCCUCCAAAAAUAAGACCAUACCUCUUGACCAAGAGCAACCACUCGACGUACUAACAGUAACCAGACCCAAUAUAAUUGAGCAAUGGACCAAGCUACCCCAGGGAUAACAGCGCAAUCUCCUCCAAGAGCCCUCAUCGACGAGGGGGUUUACGACCUCGAUGUUGGAUCAGGACAUCCUAAUGGUGCAGCCGCUAUUAAGGGUUCGUUUGUUCAACGAUUAACAGUCCUACGUGAUCUGAGUUCAGACCGGAGCAAUCCAGGUCGGUUUCUAUCUAUGAUAAACUCUCCCCAGUACGAAAGGACCGGGAAAGUGGGGCCAAUACUAAAAGUACGCCCCCCUCCAAGUAAUGAACCCAACUGAAUUACAAACGAGACUCCCUAAUAAUUCGUCCUAGAAAGGACCGU